UAUGGCCAUAUCACGUUGAAACACCAGUUCUGGUACGAUCACCGAAGUUAAGCAGCGUCGAGCCUGGUCAGUGCCUAGGUGAGUGACCGCUUGGGAAUACCAAGUGCUGUAAG